rnacentral:rRNA from 1 species
CCAAGGGCAUGGCUGGUUGGCUACGUUCGGAAAGGAUAACCGCUGAAAGCAUCUAAGCGGGAAGCCUGCUUCGAGAUGAGUAUUCCCACCCCCUUCGAGGGGUUAAGGCUCCCAGUAGACGACUGGGUUGAUAGGCCAGAUGUGGAAGCCCGGUAACGGGUGGAGCUGACUGGUACUAAUAGGCCGAGGGCUUGUCCUC